GACCCCAUCGUCUAAAGGAAUAAGGAUACCGCCCUUUCACGGCGGUGAUGCGGGUUUGAAUCCCGCUGGGGUCGCCA
rnacentral:tRNA from 1 species